CAUUGUCUCUUAAAGGUGUUAGUUUUGAAAUGCAUAUUCUUCAAGUAAUAAUUACCUAAGUUGCUCCAGAAAAAUUUGAUGUUGGUUCAAACCUUCCACUGAUGGUAAGAUGGAAUGCCAGCACCACGUGUGCCACUCUUUCAUAUUAAAACAUGUGAGAAUCUGCUUCCUAAAAGCUCUUUCCAGAUUCUCCUUUCUGCAGCUUAAAGCCCUGCACCCGCCCACCCUGUUUGCCUAAAGCCCUUUUAUAGUUCCCUCCCAGUUUCCUUGCAAGAAAACUCUUAAAAACAAACACACAAAACCUAAGCACUUGGCCUCUGUAAAACGUUGAAUUUGGUGGUUUAUUCUUGUGGACGUUGGAAGUAGAGGGAAGAACGUCCUAAAAUUCAUCGCUUAUCCUUAAAAAAUAUCAUUUUUAAAGGUGACUCACCUAACAGAAAAGUAAGCUCCACUUUAGGCUAUUCAGACACUGGUGUUUCUAUUAUUCCAAGAUGUCUCUUGCAGAGGCGACACAAAAACAGGCAGCUACCCACAUCAUGUUUAAGAAUACACUUUAUCUGAAAGCAAAUAGGAAAUUUACCAAGGUACCUUCUUCACACCUACUGUGUGAAAUGAAGGACUUCAUGCAUUCUCUGUCUGUAAAUGGAAUGAUAUACCUUGCCUUGCAGUAGAAUUACUUUGAUCCAAUCCAAUAAGCUGAGAUGAAACUGCUGUGACCUUCCCAGUAUUUCCUUUAGGUUCCGCUCUGAACAAACUCUAACAGUGAAAACCUUGCUAGUUAUCUCCUUCUUCUGGAGAUAGCUGGAAAGAGUCUUAUGCACUAUUGCAGUGGGAUUCUGUUCACCCGCAAACCUAAAAACAAUAAAAUUCCCAAAUGCACCUCCUCAUUUAGACACAGUCUUUAGUAAUUUAUUUCCAGCAUACAUUGUAUUUCCUUUACGUUUUUUCAUCAUAAAGAGUGUCCCAAGGGAAGAAAAUAAGGCUCUCUUUUCAUAUACUAAAUAAAUUCAGUAUUUCAUUUGUUUUAAACUGAUGAUAUCUCCCCAUAUCACUAGUAUUAGCAUUUUUAUUUAUUUUCACCUUCAAUUGAUUUCUAUGAAACAAAAGCAAAGGCAACAAAACAGCAGUAUUCAAGCUUUUUUAAAAAUAAUCUUUUUAUUUAAUAAAAUCUAGUCUAGAAUCCCCAAAUACAACUAUAAGAUAAGAAGUCAUGUAACAAGACCAAGAGGCCCAUUGCACCACCUCCCUUCCUUCUGUCUAGAACCUCUGGAUCCUUGGACUAGAAACAUCUGGAUCUCCUGAGAAUUUGUUGGAAAUUCAAAUUGUCCUCACUGAAUCAGGAAUGCUGAGGGUGGAGCCUAGCAAUCUGUAUUUUAAUAAGCUCUCCAAGUGAUCUGAUGCAUGCCCUAUGGUUUCAGAACUAUUACUCUAAGGCUUCUGGAAACACUGAUUGAAAACCUCUGCAAUAAAAUACUCACAUUAAGUACCCAAACACCAUGGUUCAAUCAGUAAUGGCCAAACUGUUGGCCAGCAGGUAGUGACACCAGCAAGGAGCUCGAAAUAGCAGAAGAUGUACAAUUUGCAACGAAAGGGGUGAUACAGGGGUGUCACAUACAAGGCAUAAGAAGUCAAGGACCC
rnacentral:lncRNA from 1 species